UUUAGCACGGAAAAUGAAUACAGGAAUUAAUUCUCUGGCACACCCUGAAAGUGAGUUAAAACUCAUUAGAUGUGGACUUUGGAUAGCCAGAACUGGCAGAAUAAUGAAAGCUAUCGAUUGAGACUGAGGCGACUAAAUAUUCUUGGCUGAAACAGCAUAUCAACAGAGCAUCUUCUUUGACGGAAAGUGGGCAUUGAAUGCCCGAGUUGAGAAAUCUCUCAUAAAUACCUGCUUACUUUACCUGCCACUGUAUUGAUGUGAGAGUUACCUUAAUCGGAUGGUUGCAGAAUCUCCCUGGCAAUUCCCAGCAUAGAUAUGAUGGUGCUCCACAUAAUUAACUUACCGGCAGAAUCAUUCGUUCGAUAGAAUCGUAUGAGAGGGAUCACAUAGCAUAGGAUAUAAAAUUAAGCCUUGAAUAUAGGUGAUAUUUAUACUUUAACCUUUGGUUCUCGGUCUACGUAAUGAAAGGGACGGACUAAUACAGAAGAACCAUACAUGACAAGUGGCUCCUAAAUUGUCAUUUAUUUGAGUCCUUAGCUGAAAAGUUCAUGCCUGAAGGUGUGACAGAAAAUGGACUGUUUUUUUCCAUCCUUGAAAGUAAAACAAAGAAUCAAAAUUGUACUCUCCGUUUUACCCUGAUAACGCGUUUAAACUCAAUCGCAGCCGACUCUGCAUGACCAGAAUUGGCAGAUACAGACUCAUAAAAAUGAAAUGUUAUUGAAAGGAAAACCAAAAAUUAAAGUGGUAUUCUCUGUUGUACCCUGAUAACGCACUGAAACUCAAUCGCUGUUGACUCUGUAUGACCAGCAUUGGCAGAUAAAGGCUCCUGAAAA